UACGUAGGGUGCGAGCGUUAAUCGGAAUUACUGGGCGUAAAGCGUGCGCAGGCGGCGCGUUUAAGACAGGUGUGAAAGCCCCCGAGCUUAACUUGGGGAAUUGCGCUUGUGACUGGCGAGCUGGAGUGUGGCAGAGGGAGGUGGAAUUCCACGUGUAGCAGUGAAAUGCGUAGAGAUGUGGAGGAACACCGAUGGCGAAGGCAGCCUCCUGGGCCAGCACUGACGCUCAUGCACGAAAGCGUGGGGAGCAAACAGG
rnacentral:rRNA from 1 species